CAUAGGUUAAUGAGGCGAACCGGGGGAACUGAAACAUCUAAGUACCCCGAGGAAAAGAAAUCAACCGAGAUUCCCCCAGUAGCGGCGAGCGAACGGGGAGCAGCCCAGAGCCUGAAUCAGUGUGUGUGUUAGUGGAAGCGUCUGGAAAGGCGCGCGAUACAGGGUGACAGCCCCGUACACAAAAAUGCACAUACUGUGAGCUCGAUGAGUAGGGCGGGACACGUGGUAUCCUGUCUGAAUAUGGGGGGACCAUCCUCCAAGGCUAAAUACUCCUGACUGACCGAUAGUGAACCAGUACCGUGAGGGAAAGGCGAAAAGAACCCCGGCGAGGGGAGUGAAAAAGAACCUGAAACCGUGUACGUACAAGCAGUGGGAGCACGCUUAGGCGUGUGACUGCGUACCUUUUGUAUAAUGGGUCAGCGACUUAUAUUCUGUAGCAAGGUUAACCGAAUAGGGGAGCCGAAGGGAAACCGAGUCUUAACUGGGCGUUAAGUUGCAGGGUAUAGACCCGAAACCCGGUGAUCUAGCCAUGGGCAGGUUGAAGGUUGGGUAACACUAACUGGAGGACCGAACCGACUAAUGUUGAAAAAUUAGCGGAUGACUUGUGGCUGGGGGUGAAAGGCCAAUCAAACCGGGAGAUAGCUGGUUCUCCCCGAAAGCUAUUUAGGUAGCGCCUCGUGAAUUCAUCUCCGGGGGUAGAGCACUGUUUCGGCAAGGGGGUCAUCCCGACUUACCAACCCGAUGCAAACUGCGAAUACCGGAGAAUGUUAUCACGGGAGACACACGGCGGGUGCUAACGUCCGUCGUGAAGAGGGAAACAACCCAGACCGCCAGCUAAGGUCCCAAAGUCAUGGUUAAGUGGGAAACGAUGUGGGAAGGCCCAGACAGCCAGGAUGUUGGCUUAGAAGCAGCCAUCAUUUAAAGAAAGCGUAAUAGCUCACUGGUCGAGUCGGCCUGCGCGGAAGAUGUAACGGGGCUAAACCAUGCACCGAAGCUGCGGCAGCGACGCUGAUGCGUUGUUGGGUAGGGGAGCGUUCUGUAAGCCUGUGAAGGUGUGCUGUGAGGCAUGCUGGAGGUAUCAGAAGUGCGAAUGCUGACAUAAGUAACGAUAAAGCGGGUGAAAAGCCCGCUCGCCGGAAGACCAAGGGUUCCUGUCCAACGUUAAUCGGGGCAGGGUGAGUCGACCCCUAAGGCGAGGCCGAAAGGCGUAGUCGAUGGGAAAC
rnacentral:rRNA from 1 species